GGCGGCUACACGCCGGAGCGGGAAAAAGAGCCCCCCUCCCCACGCGUCUGUUCACUUGUAAGACAAGCUGACUGUAGUGAGGUUGUGCAAGUUUGGAUCCCGGACUAGGAGUGCGCAGAGCAGAUAUGACUGCACGGGUUGGUGGAUUUGGUCCCCGCCUUAUGGAAGGCCACUAUCUGUGCGCUCUUGUCGCCCAGCGAAUUUGGGCUCCUGACGUUCAUACCUACACAGUUGUUCAUUCACUAGCGCCAGGCCAUGUCUCGGCACUGAAGACCUCAGAGUCUGUCCCUGCUUUUGAAAUAUUUGCAGGGAGGGAUCACUGACUACGGAGACUAACCUGCGUAGGGACUUGAACUAGGCCCUGGCGGUCCUCUACCCUGUAUCCAGCCCUCUACUUGAGACCUCGUUACUCUGCUCUACACUGGGCUGUGGGGCGCCGCCUAGGGCGCUAGGCUCGGCCGGGAGAAGUGUUGGGCAAUGGAGCCGCAUCCGGAGUGAGAGAAUUGGUGAACAUGGAAGAACCUUGGGAACACGAUGGCAAAGGCUGGAGCUGGAUGUAGGGAGGUGAAGGGAAGUGGGGCGGAUGAAGGGGAAAAUGAGGCAUUUGAAGUUGUUGGCACAAGGAAACUGCCAUUGAAACUCUUUUAAGACUCAGUGCUGUUACACAGGAAUGCGUUGAAAAAAAUGGGCAAAUGAAGGAGCUUGUUCAAAUACUGCGUGACACCGGGGAGGAGGAAGGUCAGAGAAAUUACUAAUUCUGUCCACAGGUUUAAAGUAAUUGGUUAGAUUUUAAAGAAACCUUAAGCAUUGAAGCAUUCAUCACCACUCUUUCCAUGUCACUACUUGAUGACUAAUUUUCCCCAAAGCAUUAGGAAUUUCAUUCAAAUUGAGUAAUCUUUUUUUUUCCCUAGCAAAGAUACAUUCUUAUCAUUAGUUAAAUUUACAUCUUUAGCCCAGAUAUGGGAUAGGUAUCUCACUUUAACAUGGCUCCAAUUCCCAAUCUCCACCCCUAGCUACCUACUCCAGAUCCUUUAUCAGUUAAAACACUACCCAUUUACUCAAACCAUAAACCUUGAGUCUCAAUGUUUCCUCGUCUUAUUCCGUUUAAGAGUCAUCUCAGCUCUACCACAAAAAUAUAUCACGAAUACAUUCACUUGUUUCCGCUGCUACCCCUAAUCCAAGCCACCAUCAUCUCUCACCUGGGGAACUCUGGUAUCCAUGCAAUUUGUGCUUUUACUCAUGUGCCCACCCCAAACACAUGUAACCUAUUCUCCACCUAGCUGUCAGAGUGAUCUAAGAAAACUUAAAUCAGAUAAUGUAUUAUUCCCCUGAAUAAAUCUCUUCCAUACUUUCUCAGUGCAUUUAGAGUAAAAUUCAAACCCCUGACCUCUUACCAAAAUCCCCUUGGUUCUAAACGCUCCAGCCACACUUCUUUCUUAACUUCCAAGGUAACAAGCGUGUUCCUUUCCUCUUCCUGUUACCACUCCCUGAAGUGCUCUUCUCCAAGAUUUUCUCAGAUCUGGCUUUCAGAUCCUGGCCUCUAUGUCAUUUCAGAGAGGACUUCCCUGAGGAAGACUAAAGGAGUUCUUCUCCCUCCCAACACAGUAUCUUGAUUAUCCUCAUAGGAUAUCUUUAUUUUUAUCAUUAUCUUUUUCUUUUGUAGUUUGUGCUUUUUGUACAUACUUAAACUGUCUAAUCCUAGGUUUCAAAGAUACACACCUAUGUUUUCUUCUAAGAGUUUUAUAAUUUUAGUAAUGUUUAGGUCUUGGGUCCAUUUUGAAUUAAUUUUUGUAUAUGCUGCAAGUGUCCUACUUCAUUCUUUUGCACAUGGUUAUCUUAUUCUCCCAGCACCACUUGUUGAAAAAAACUAUUCUUUCUUCACUGAUCUUGGCAGUCUUGUGCUUUUCCUGGGUCAUGAUUGAAACAAACAAAAAUAACCAAACAGUUGUUCUAGAAGUGACAAAUACAAUAACCAAAAUAAAUGCUCAAUGGAGAGGUUAAACAGUUGAAGAAAGACGUAGUCAACUGGAAAAGAUGUCAUAAUAAAUUAUUGAAAACUGAAGAAAGUUACUGAUCCAUACAUUUAAGGUCCCAAGUAGAAAAAAAUAAUAUCUACACCUAGGCAGAUCCUAAUUAAUAUAGCUCAAACGAGAUUAACCUUAAGGUAACUGUUGAAGGUGUGGGAUGGGAUUCAUUCAUGGAGGACAUUAUACUGUUGUGUAACUUUGUACAUGUCUAAAAUUUACAUGAUAAAGUGUUCCCAAGAGUAAGGGUAAAAUAAAGGUGUUUUUGUUUUUGUUUUACCUGAUAGAAACUGAGUUUAUCAACCAAAGUAACUGGCUGUAAUUUCCUGCUCUUUCAUGGUCUCUGGGCUCUUUUACAUGUUACCUCUAGGGUCAGAGAACCACAAUCUCAAUGGUAUCAAUUCCAGGAUGGAGGUAUGGUAUUAAGAGUCAACAUUUUCCUGUUCUGUAGGUACGUCUAUAAUAUGGCUAUAUUACCCUACUAUUUAAUACUUGAGUAAACUUCUAAAUCCAA